rnacentral:rRNA from 1 species
AUACGGAGGGUGCGAGCGUUGUUCGGAAUUACUGGGCGUAAAGGGCGCGCAGGCGGCUUGAUAAGUCAGAUGUGAAAGCCCACGGCUCAACCGUGGAAGUGCACCUGAAACUGUCUGGCUUGAGUACUGGAGAGGACAGUGGAAUUCCUGGUGUAGAGGUGAAAUUCGUAGAUAUCAGGAGGAACACCGGUGGCGAAGGCGACUUUCUGGACAGAUACUGACGCUGAGGCGCGAAAGCGUGGGGAGCAAACAGGAUUAGAAACCCCAGUAGUCC